GGGGAUUUAGCUCAGUGGUAGAGUGCUUGCCUAGCGAGCACAAGGCCCUGGGUUCGGUCCCCAGCUCCA
rnacentral:tRNA from 1 species